UCGAAUGAACAUAGAGUCGGUUGUAGCUGGCCUUGCAAAAGGCAUGUGCACGCCUUCUCUUUCAUCCACGCACCCCUGUGCACUUGUGAGACGGAGGCUUAUUUCUUCCCUUUCAUUUGGGGAGAUCAGUUUCCGUCUGCUACUACACAAAUUCAUAUAUUUAAUUCUGAAUGUAAUUGAUGUAACGCAUCUAUAUAC
rnacentral:misc_RNA from 1 species